rnacentral:rRNA from 1 species
UUACCGAGUGCGGGUCCUUUGGGCCCAACCUCCCAUCCGUGUCUAUUAUACCCUGUUGCUUCGGCGGGCCCGCCGCUUGUCGGCCGCCGGGGGGGCGCCUUUGCCCCCCGGGCCCGUGCCCGCCGGAGACCCCAACACGAACACUGUCUGAAAGCGUGCAGUCUGAGUUGAUUGAAUGCAAUCAGUUAAAACUUUCAACAAUGGAUCUCUUGGUUCCGGCAUCGAUGAAGAACGCAGCGAAAUGCGAUAACUAAUGUGAAUUGCAGAAUUCAGUGAAUCAUCGAGUCUUUGAACGCACAUUGCGCCCCCUGGUAUUCCGGGGGGCAUGCCUGUCCGAGCGUCAUUGCUGCCCUCAAGCCCGGCUUGUGUGUUGGGUCGCCGUCCCCCUCUCCGGGGGGACGGGCCCGAAAGGCAGCGGCGGCACCGCGUCCGAUCCUCGAGCGUAUGGGGCUUUGUCACAUGCUCUGUAGGAUUGGCCGGCGCCUGCCGACGUUUUCCAACCAUUUUUUCCAGGUUGACCUCGGAUCAGGUAGGGAUACCCGCUGAACUUAAGCAUAUCAAUAAGCGGAGGAAAAGAAACCAACCGGGAUUGCCUCAGUAACGGCGAGUGAAGCGGCAAGAGCUCAAAUUUGAAAGCUGGCUCCUUCGGAGUCCGCAUUGUAAUUUGCAGAGGAUGCUUUGGGUGCGGCCCCGUCUAAGUGCCCUGG